UUUCUACUCCCUCCGUCCGAAAAUACUUGUCAUCAAAAUGGAUAAAAAUAGAUGUAUCUAAAGCUAAAAUACGUCUAGAUACAUUUCCUUUUAUCCAUUUUGAUGACAAGUAUUUCCGGACGGAGGGAGUAUUUG
rfam:Triticum aestivum genome assembly, contig: Triticum_aestivum_CS42_TGACv1_scaffold_320386_4BL